rnacentral:miRNA from 1 species
UGAGAUUUGACAGGACCCAGUAG